AUUGAACGCUGGCGGCAUGCCUUACACAUGCAAGUCGAACGGCAGCACGGGUGCUUGCACCUGGUGGCGAGUGGCGAACGGGUGAGUAAUACAUCGGAACAUGUCCUGUAGUGGGGGAUAGCCCGGCGAAAGCCGGAUUAAUACCGCAUACGAUCUACGGAUGAAAGCGGGGGACCUUCGGGCCUCGCGCUAUAGGGUUGGCCGAUGGCUGAUUAGCUAGUUGGUGGGGUAAAGGCCUACCAAGGCGACGAUCAGUAGCUGGUCUGAGAGGACGACCAGCCACACUGGGACUGAGACACGGCCCAGACUCCUACGGGAGGCAGCAGGGGGGAAUUUUGGACAAUGGGCGAAAGCCUGAUCCAGCAAUGCCGCGUGUGUGAAGAAGGCCUUCGGGUUGUAAAGCACUUUUGUCCGGAAAGAAAUCCUUGGCCCUAAUACGGUCGGGGGAUGACGGUACCGGAAGAAUAAGCACCAGCUAACUACGUG
rnacentral:rRNA from 1 species